GGGGAAUAUUGGACAAUGGGCGCAAGCCUGAUCCAGCCAUGCCGCGUGUGUGAAGAAGGCCUUAGGGUUGUAAAGCACUUUCAGCGAGGAGGAAGGGAUAGGCGUUAAUAGCGGCUAUUUUUGACGUUACUCGCAGAAGAAGCACCGGCUAACUCCGUGCCAGCAGCCGCGGUAAUACGGAGGGUGCAAGCGUUAAUCGGAAUUACUGGGCGUAAAGCGCACGUAGGCGGUUCGUUAAGUUGGAUGUGAAAGCCCCGGGCUCAACCUGGGAAUUGCAUUCAAAACUGGCAGACUAGAGUAUGUGAGAGGGGGGUAGAAUUCCAAGUGUAGCGGUGAAAUGCGUAGAGAUUUGGAGGAAUACCAGUGGCGAAGGCGGCCCCCUGGCACAAUACUGACGCUGAGGUGCGAAAGCGUGGGGAUCAAACA
rnacentral:rRNA from 1 species